rnacentral:rRNA from 1 species
UUGAACGCUGGCGGCAGGCCUAACACAUGCAAGUCGAACGGUAACAGGAAGCAGCUUGCUGCUUUGCUGACGAGUGGCGGACGGGUGAGUAAUGUCUGGGAAACUGCCUGAUGGAGGGGGAUAACUACUGGAAACGGUAGCUAAUACCGCAUAACGUCGCAAGACCAAAGAGGGGGACCUUCGGGCCUCUUGCCAUCGGAUGUGCCCAGAUGGGAUUAGCUUGUUGGUGGGGUAACGGCUCACCAAGGCGACGAUCCCUAGCUGGUCUGAGAGGAUGACCAGCCACACUGGAACUGAGACACGGUCCAGACUCCUACGGGAGGCAGCAGUGGGGAAUAUUGCACAAUGGGCGCAAGCCUGAUGCAGCCAUGCCGCGUGUAUGAAGAAGGCCUUCGGGUUGUAAAGUACUUUCAGCGGGGAGGAAGGGAGUAAAGUUAAUACCUUUACUCAUUGACGUUACCCGCAGAAGAAGCACCGGCUAACUCCGUGCCAGCAGCCGCGGUAAUACGGAGGGUGCAAGCGUUAAUCGGAAUUACUGGGCGUAAAGCGCACGCAGGCGGUUUGUUAAGUCAGAUGUGAAAUCCCCGGGCUCAACCUGGGAACUGCAUCUGAUACUGGCAAGCUUGAGUCUCGUAGAGGGGGGUAGAAUUCCAGGUGUAGCGGUGAAAUGCGUAGAGAUCUGGAGGAAUACCGGUGGCGAAGGCGGCCCCCUGGACGAAGACUGACGCUCAGGUGCGAAAGCGUGGGGAGCAAACAGGAUUAGAUACCCUGGUAGUCCACGCCGUAAACGAUGUCGACUUGGAGGUUGUGCCCUUGAGGCGUGGCUUCCGGAGCUAACGCGUUAAGUCGACCGCCUGGGGAGUACGGCCGCAAGGUUAAAACUCAAAUGAAUUGACGGGGGCCCGCACAAGCGGUGGAGCAUGUGGUUUAAUUCGAUGCAACGCGAAGAACCUUACCUGGUCUUGACAUCCACAGAACUUUCCAGAGAUGGAUUGGUGCCUUCGGGAACUGUGAGACAGGUGCUGCAUGGCUGUCGUCAGCUCGUGUUGUGAAAUGUUGGGUUAAGUCCCGCAACGAGCGCAACCCUUACUGUUAGUUGCUACGCAAGAGCACUCUAGCGAGACUGCCGUUGACAAAACGGAGGAAGGUGGGGAUGACGUCAAAUCAUCAUGCCCUUUAUGUCCUGGGCUACACACGUACUACAAUGGAUGUUACAAAGGGAAGCGAAGUAGUGAUAUGGAGCGAAACCCAAAAAGCAUCCCCAGUUCGGAUUGUAGGCUGAAAUUCGCCUACAUGAAGCCGGAAUUGCUAGUAAUGGCAGGUCAGCAUACUGCCGUGAAUACGUUCCCGGGCCUUGUACACACCGCCCGUCACACCAUGAGAGUUGGGGAUACCCGAAGCCUGUGAGCCAACAGUUAAAUGAGGCAGCAGUCGAAGGUAGAAUCAAUGAUUGGGGUG